GACGAACGCUGGCGGCGUGCCUAAUACAUGCAAGUUGAGCGCUGAAGGUUGGUACUUGUACCAACUGGAUGAGCAGCGAACGGGUGAGUAACGCGUGGGGAAUCUGCCUUUGAGCGGGGGACAACAUUUGGAAACGAAUGCUAAUACCGCAUAAAAACUUUAAACACAAGUUUUAAGUUUGAAAGAUGCAAUUGCAUCACUCAAAGAUGAUCCCGCGUUGUAUUAGCUAGUUGGUGAGGUAAAGGCUCACCAAGGCGAUGAUACAUAGCCGACCUGAGAGGGUGAUCGGCCACAUUGGGACUGAGACACGGCCCAAACUCCUACGGGAGGCAGCAGUAGGGAAACUUCGGCAAUGGACGAAAGUCUGACCGAGCAACGCCGCGUGAGUGAAGAAGGUUUUCGGAUCGUAAAACUCUGUUGGUAGAGAAGAACGUUGGUGAGAGUGGAAAGCUCAUCAAGUGACGGUAACUACCCAGAAAGGGACGGCUAACUACGUG
rnacentral:rRNA from 1 species